GUUUUCACAUCAUUGCGGUUUAGUAGGUUACAAGGAAUAAGUAGUAUUAGUUAGAAUAGUGGCAUGACUUUGCUCCGAGCUGAUUUGUUUUAUUAGUGAGCUAUAGCGCAACCUCAUAUACUAUCAAUUAGUGAUCUAUUGUUCAGACUAAAAUGGCUGCUAAAUGUACCGCAGUCAAGUGUCAAAUGUGUCCCCAGUUAAUCGAUUUGACAACUCCAAUAAAUUUUUUCCACCACAUCUGAGUAUUCCACUAUUUUUCGUCCAAUUUUUCAGUGCAGUGCAAGUAUCCGAAUUGCAACCAGACUUACUUAGUGUACAAUUCAUUCAAGGUCCACUGGCAUAAAAAACACGGGAGUGUUUUAAAUCUACAAAACCAUGUGUUAGAUAACGCCAAUGUUCUUGAACCAGAACUUCAGACUGGUGACGCAGAGCAAAGUAAUUUGGAAGACACAGAAGCGAUAACAAACAUGGACUUGGAAGACAGUGAUGACAGUUCAAAUUUUCUCCGUCAUUCUGCAAGUUUGGAAUGCAUGGCAGAUGCUGCUGCAAUUUGGAAUCCAACAAGUGUAACUGAUGUUGAAUGGGAAGCAGCCGCAUUAUUGAGACUCAGGCAACAGUUCUAUUUGCCAUUUGAGGCACUGCUGUGUGUUUCUGACGCCAUUCAUCAACAUCACGACAAGAAAUUACAGCAAGUAAAGGAGCAGCUCAUACCUCUUAUCAGUGAUGAAACAACUCAAUCACCUGCAUUUCAUACCAUUUUCAACAAGUUGGGAGGUGAGGAAGACCUGACACGUUAUCGACUAGAAUCUAUCUGGAAAAACUCAUUCCCAGCCAUCAUGCCUAUUGCUGUAAUACUUAACGAAGGGAAUCCUUCCUUUGAAUGGGCUACAGAUGCCCAGGGAAAAUGUCUUUUGAAAGAAAUCUACAAAGAGGGGUAUCUCAUUCCAUUUUUGUAGCAGCUACAACAACUAUUGGGUAGGAUUUGACUUGGCUAGUCAACAACACAAGCCAAGAUCACUGAGAUCAUAUCACCACUGUUAGAUGGAACACCUUUAGUUGCUGUAAAGAUGCUGCCAGCUAUCCAGCUAAUGUUGAAGGCAUGCAGUCUCAAUCGAUCAUCAUAAACUAGUUAUUGCCAACAUCAGUGAUAUUGUUUGUACCAAACACACUCAGGCAACAUGCCUUAGUGUGAACUGAGUUCAUUGUAAGUGCCCCUCCAAUAACUCAGUGCAAUUUUAAUGUGGUGAUUUUAUACUUUUUUAAUUAAGUUCAUUUGUACUUAAAUAGGAGUUUUUAUUUUAUUUAUUAUUUUGUUAUUUCACAUUUUCAUGACAUGGCAACGUCAUGAAAAUUUGCACAUUUCAAACAUAUCGGCAACGUUUAGUGUGUCAAAGACGCUCAUUUCUCCUAGCACUUCACGAGAGCACUUCUCUCGUGGUGAAACCGUGAAAUAGUGUUUUAUUAAUGUGAAAUAAGAAGCCGUCAAGUCGAUAUUCGAAAUUUUCCGUCACAUAAAAGUUCCAAACUCUUCAUCUAUGCGAUGGACAUCACUCAGUGGAGUGCUUCUGAAGUUAGGCAAGCUUUGGAAGCAGAAGGCUUUGAGUUGGAUAUCUGCAAAACCUUUGUGUACGCUCAGAGAAUCUCAAUCCAACAUGUUCAAGUCAAGCUGAGACAGUGAACACCAAUGCUGACAAAGUACGCUCAAAGAAUCUCAAUCCAACAUGUUCAAGUCAAGCUGAGACAGUGAACACCAAUGCUGACAAAGUACGCUCAAAGAAUCUCAAUCCAACAUGUUCAAGUCAAGCUGUUAUUGUUGGGGGUUUAUUAUGUCAUCAACAUGCAAUAUCCCGCCAUGUAUGGAGUUCUGGAUGUUAUCGAUCGCUGUUGCUUGACUGCCGACACCAAUGCUACCACUAGAAAGAGAUCAAAGAAACAAGAGCCACAAGCUAUGGCAAAAUUUUGGAAAUCGUACAACCGUUUUGUAGACGGAAUGUAAGUGCUGUUAUGUUUAUGUCGUUCAGUUUUUUGUUUUAAACUUGCACUUAGAAAACUUUUCUUGAAUACGUGCUGACAACCUGAAUAAACAAUAACAAGAAGCAA